GUAUUGUUUUUUUUGUUUAUAUUACAUUCUGUAUACAUUUGGCGUUGGUGAAAAUACAUAGACCCGAAGGCCUACGGUGGGUUCACAGGUGUGUGUGGGGAUCAGGCGUGCACAUGCCCCGAAGGGCCAGCCACAGCCUUCACUUCGUUUCGAUAAUGAUCCUUCCGCAGGUUCACCUACGGAAA
rnacentral:misc_RNA from 1 species